UUGUUUGUAAUGAAACUUUGAGUCGUAGUACGCAAAUCACCGUUUGAUUGAAUCAUGAAAAAUGUACACAAUUGAAUACAGACAAACCUGAAGUUGGUUGUCACUGUGUUUGACAAUUGACAGUCUGAAACUCGCUCUAACCAACUUCGAUUUUUUUGUAUUUGACAAAGUGUCAAUGUCAUGACUUUUAUUUGUGUACACAAACAAACGAUGCGAACUACGAUUAAAUGUUUCAUUACAAACAAUACCGUUCUAUUUUUGAUUAAAAACAAACCAGUGACAGGUUUUGCUUUGAAAAAAUUGGCAACGAUUUGGAAUUCAUUGCACCAAAACUUAUUCACGAUUCCGCUGCGUAUUCAAAGUUUUUAGAAUCGUGAAGUGGAUUGAUAAUGAAACUCUUUCGGAAGCGAAAAGUCUUGCAAAUCACAAACAACAAUCGAAUGGUACAGGCGAUAUGAAUUGCGGCACCUACUCAUCGGCACGAAAUACUUUGGAAGCAAUUGAUUUUCAUACACAAAACGGUGAUUUGCCUUGGGGUCAAAAGUAUUGGCAUUUGAAAGUCAGACAUCCAGUCUCGAGCAAUGGAAUUUGGACACGUUUGUUCGAUGAAUUUGAUAAUCGAAUGACAAAAUGACAUCGAAACUCAUGCAAACGGUGGCUUUGAAUCCAAAACGCUCACGAAUCCAAAGUGGCGAUCAAUUGUUUGGGGUCAGAGACAAGCAGAGCUGUUAUCGUGCCAUUGUGCUGAAGCUUGAG